GGGAGUGUAGCUCAGUGGUAGAGCAUUCGACUGCAGAUCGAGAGGUCAGUGGUUCAACUCCUUUCGCUCGCU
rnacentral:tRNA from 1 species